UCACCCCAAUAUCACCCCACUGUCAUCCCACUAUCACCCCACUACUUGUCCUCCAGGGAUUGGUGGAGAAUGAAUCACCUCACUAGCAUGGUACCACCCCUCAUUAGCAUAUUACUGGCCUACUGACACCAGGUGCAAAACCUGCGCAUGCACAGUACCGUUGUUCACCAGUUGAGGGCGCCCUACACCCAUGCCCUACUGGCUCUGUUCCAGAGGAAGGAAACGGCGUCAUACUGCCCCUUGUAUGACCAAGCUGGACUCAGCAAGAGGCCAUAGGUGAAAAUGCAGCCUUAGUAUCAGUCGAAGACCCAGGACUGAAGAAAUCAUGCAAAGAAGAUAAGUGUUGGCACCAUGAAGAGAGCAUAUAAGAGGUUACUAGUGAAAGUGCAGGCAAGGUCAACUAGAAGUCUCUAUCAUUUCGGAGAUGCCAAUACUGUGGGAUGACCACCAAGUACAGCAGCAGCAGAAGUUGUGUGCCAGAAUCUGUGAAAGUGAAGCCUGGGUCACCUUGGAGACCUCAAGUUGUUAGAGACCCCAGAGCAAUGGGACACCUGCCAAGGAAAGUUGCUAAUAGGGAAUGGAUCCAGCCCAAGAGAAAAGAAUUGUGUUGCAGUCAACGAAGUGGAAGAUAGUUGGAAAUCGGAAGAGCACUUUGACAUCAGACAUGUAGACACAGAAUUUGAAUUCUCCCAGCUGGUUUUUAGCCUUGCUUUGAAAUUGUCUUUUACCACAUGACAAGUCCGUUAUGCACCUUCGCCUGCACUGUGCCAUCGAACAGUCUAUCUGUGAGGCUUAAUGAAGACAAGAAUUCUAUAAAGGGUGAUUAUGAGGAUGCACUGACUCUUUCCAUCAAAUAUCUUCUAGUUUCAAAGUAUCAAGUAUUCACACAUCUUUUAAAGCUUUAGGAACUGGAAUUCACAGAGAAAAUAUGAACUGACAUUUAAAUAAAUGAGCAUUCAUCUCUUGUAUGGAAGAUAAACUUCAGAAGAUGUUUUGUAUGUUUUGACUUAAUUGUGAUGGUCAUCAAUUUAUUUCUACUAGAUUUAUGUAAACCGACAUAUUUUAAUUGAAAUAUAUUUUUAAUGUUAAUAAAUGAGAAUAUUAAUAUUUUAA